rnacentral:rRNA from 1 species
AACAGGAUUAGAUACCCUGGUAGUCCGCGCCGUAAACGAUGUCGACUUGGAGGUUGUGCCCUUGAGGCGUGGCUUCCGGAGCUAACGCGUUAAGUCGACCGCCUGGGGAGUACGGCCGCAAGGUUAAAACUCAAAUGAAUUGACGGGGGCCCGCACAAGCGGUGGAGCAUGUGGUUUAAUUCGAUGCAACGCGAAGAACCUUACCUACUCUUGACAUCCAGAGAACUUUCCAGAGAUGGAUUGGUGCCUUCGGGAACUCUGAGACAGGUGCUGCAUGGCUGUCGUCAGCUCGUGUUGUGAAAUGUUGGGUUAAGUCCCGCAACGAGCGCAACCCUUAUCCUUUGUUGCCAGCGGUUAGGCCGGGAACUCAAAGGAGACUGCCAGUGAUAAACUGGAGGAAGGUGGGGAUGACGUCAAGUCAUCAUGGCCCUUACGAGUAGGGCUACACACGUGCUACAAUGGCGCAUACAAAGAGAAGCGACCUCGCGAGAGCAAGCGGACCUCAUAAAGUGCGUCGUAGUCCGGAUUGGAGUCUGCAACUCGACUCCAUGAAGUCGGAAUCGCUAGUAAUCGUAGAUCAGAAUGCUACGGUGAAUACGUUCCCGGGCCUUGUACACACCGCCCGUCACACCAUGGGAGUGGGUUGCAAAAGAAGUAGGUAGCUUAACCUUCGGGAGGGCGCUUACCACUUUGUGAUUCAUGACUGGGGUGAAGUCGUAACAAGGUAACC